ACAAGGAUUGAGAAGGUCCUAAAGAAGGAGAUUCAGAAGUCUAGAGGAGAUUCUAAAAGUGUCGAGUCAGGUUCUUGGAGAAAUCUGAUUGAUACAAGGCUAGUCGAGUUCUAGGGGCUAGAACUCUUGAAGCAAGGUAAAGGAGGAGUGCUGUCUUUGGUCUGAUUUUCAUGUGGAUCACUAUUGCAGGACGGACAAUUGGACG
rnacentral:lncRNA from 1 species